rnacentral:rRNA from 1 species
GACGAACGCUGGCGGCGUGCUUAACACAUGCAAGUCGAACGGAAAGGCCCUGCUUGCAGGGUGCUCGAGUGGCGAACGGGUGAGUAACACGUGGGUGAUCUGCCCCUUACUUUGGGAUAAGCCUGGGAAACUGGGUCUAAUACUGGAUAGGACCAUGCUGUAGGUGGUGUGGUGGAAAGAUUAGUUUCGGUAAGGGAUGAGCUCGCGGCCUAUCCGCUUGUUGGUGGGGUAAUGGCCUAACGAGGCGUCGACGGGUAGCCGGCCUGAGAGGGUGGACGGCCACAUUGGGACUGCGACGCGGGCCAGACGCCUGCGGGAUGCAGCAAUGGGGAAUAUUGCACAAUGGGCGCAAGCCUGAUGCAGCGACGCCGCGUGGGGGAUGACGGCCUUCGGGUUGGAAACUCCUUUCAGCCAUGACGAAGCCCUUGUGGUGACGGUAGUGGUAGAAGAAGCACCGGCUAACUACGUG